UACGAAGGGGGCUAGCGUUGUUCGGAAUUACUGGGCGUAAAGCGUGCGCAGGCGGUUAUGCAAGACAGAGGUGAAAUCCCCGGGCUCAACCUGGGAACUGCCUUUGUGACUGCAUGACUAGAGUACGGUAGAGGGGGAUGGAAUUCCGCGUGUAGCAGUGAAAUGCGUAGAUAUGCGGAGGAACACCGAUGGCGAAGGCAAUCCCCUGGACCUGUACUGACGCUCAUGCACGAAAGCGUGGGGAGCAAACAGG
rnacentral:rRNA from 1 species